GUAACACCCGUACUCGUGCGAUUACCAAAGUUAAGCAACGUCGAGUCUGGUCAGUACCAAGAUGACAGUCCACCUGGGAAUACCAGGUGUUGUAAG